rnacentral:rRNA from 1 species
CACACUAUCAUUAACUGAAUCCAUAGGUUAAUGAGGCGAACCGGGGGAACUGAAACAUCUAAGUACCCCGAGGAAAAGAAAUCAACCGAGAUUCCCCCAGUAGCGGCGAGCGAACGGGGAGGAGCCCAGAGCCUGAAUCAGCAUGUGUGUUAGUGGAAGCGUCUGGAAAGGCGCGCGAUACAGGGUGACAGCCCCGUACACAAAAGCGCAUGUGCUGUGAGCUCGAUGAGUAGGGCGGGACACGUGGUAUCCUGUCUGAAUAUGGGGGGACCAUCCUCCAAGGCUAAAUACUCCUGACUGACCGAUAGUGAACCAGUACCGUGAGGGAAAGGCGAAAAGAACCCCGGCGAGGGGAGUGAAAAAGAACCUGAAACCGUGUACGUACAAGCAGUGGGAGCACCCUUUGGGGUGUGACUGCGUACCUUUUGUA